rnacentral:rRNA from 1 species
UACGGAAUGAACUCAAAUCAUGUAAGAUAUUUAAAGGACGAACAGUCCUACCCUUGGUAGCUCCUGCUCCACCAGGAAAUCUCAAUUCAACAUCGAGGUGGCAAACUUCAACACCAAUGAGAACUCAUGAUUAAAAUUACCCUGUUAUCCCUAAAGUAGCUUUUAUUUAGUGAUCGUUAAUCCUUUUUUUAAGUGUUAACGGGUCAUUAUAGCCCACGUAGUGAUUGUUAAAUACAUGAAUUAUACAAUAAAGUUAAUUAUUAUUACUAUUGCUUAUUCUUGUUAUGUUUAAAGAACCCUUGCCCCAAGUAAACUACCAACCCAACAAAUUUCUAUUCAAAAAUAUAUAGGGAUAUAGUUAAGCUUUAUAGGGUCUUAUCGUCUUACGAUUUUAAAUAGCAUCUUAACUAUUAUUUUAAUUUUUUUAAUCUAUAUUUGAGACAGUGAAAUUCUCGUUCAACCAUUCAUACUAUCCGCCAAUUAAGCGGCAAUUGAUUGCGCUACAUUAACACGGUCAGGUAUACCGCGGCCGUUUAAUCAGAAUAGUUACUCUUACGUAAGUAUGUUUAGAUCACUGGGCAGGUUACACCUCAGAUUUAUUUAACUGGGGCUAUGUUUUUGGUAAACAGUCGA